CCAUCCUCUCCCCGUGAAUGGGGUUAGUUGGCAGUUCCCACGCUGUAGGCUGCGCUCCGUAGGGUAGCCCCGGGCAAAAAAAAAAAAAAAAAAAAAAAGGGGCGGGGGGAGCCGGGAUAGAAAGCUCUCCCAGAGCAGGUGGCAGCGCCCAGCAGCUUGGAGAGGUGGCCCGCGGGUAUCACGUGGGAAAGGAGAGAGCGUGGGAGGGCUGUCUAACCGCGGAGACCUUUUUCCUCUAGGCACUCCGCCCUGUAGGAACGGCUACACUGAGGUUUGGGCCUUUGCCCUGUUAUAUUCACGUUCCAGACCUUUACCAUGAAUCCUUGGACCGGCUGAUGCAGGUUUCUGCCGGAAUCCCACUUCUCUGCACUGGGAGACCUUGGCUCAGCUCUUUAGAACUGUCUUGAGUUCCUCUCUGAAGGUUUGAACUAGUGCAAGAAUGGCCUGCCUGACCAGUUCCAUUGCUCUCUCUGGGCUAAUUAUUUGACUACUCUUUUGAGUAAACACCAUAAGGGGCCCAACACCAAUCUACGAGCGAUGGCAGAAGAAAGGAAACUUCUUUGCUCGUUUGAUCUAGCAUAUAAUGUGUGCAGAACUGAUUCAAAGAGAUCUAAUAUUGUGCUUUUGUAAACCUGCAUAGGUACACCCACAGCUCUAAGGUGGUAUGGAGGUCCACCUAGAAGUCUUCAGUGCAGCAAAGAAAAAUCCUGAAAGGAAACCCUGUGUGUCAUCAACUACUAAUAAGAUUACCUGUGUUAGGUGUAGCAUGGUGGUAAAAAUAUGUGCGGUGCGUUCAUCAUCUUGGCGUUGCCACUUACUAGCUGCCUGACAAUGAGCAAGUCACCUGCUG